rnacentral:ncRNA from 1 species
UUCUCCCCGAAAUGCAUUUAGGUGCAGCGUCGUGUGUUUCUUACUGGAGGUAGAGCACUGGAUAGGCGAUGGGCCCUACCGGGUUACUGACCUUAGCCAAACUCCGAAUGCCGGUAAGUGAGAGCGCGGCAGUGAGACUGUGGGGGAUAAGCUCCAUGGUCGAGAGGGAAACAGCCCAGAGCAUCGACUAAGGCCCCUAAGCGUAUGCUAAGUGGGAAAGGAUGUGGAGUCGCAGAGACAACCAGGAGGUUGGCUUAGAAGCAGCCAUCCUUGAAAGAGUGCGUAAUAGCUCACUGGUCAAGUGAUUCCGCGCCGACAAUGUAGCGGGGCUCAAGCGUACCGCCGAAGUCGUGUCACUGCAGCAAGACCUAACGGUUGCUGUGGUGGGUAGGGGAGCGUCGUGUGCCGGGUGAAGCAGCGCCGGAAGGUAGUUGUGGACGGUUCACGAGUG